rnacentral:rRNA from 1 species
GGGUUGUGAGGUUAAGCGACUAAGCGUACACGGUGGAUGCCCUGGCAGUCAGAGGCGAUGAAGGACGUGCUAAUCUGCGAUAAGCGUCGGUAAGGUGAUAUGAACCGUUAUAACCGGCGAUUUCCGAAUGGGGAAACCCAGUGUGAUUCGUCACACUAUCAUUAACUGAAUCCAUAGGUUAAUGAGGCGAACCGGGGGAACUGAAACAUCUAAGUACCCCGAGGAAAAGAAAUCAACCGAGAUUCCCCCAGUAGCGGCGAGCGAACGGGGAGCAGCCCAGAGCCUGAAUCAGUGUGUGUGUUAGUGGAAGCGUCUGGAAAGGCGCGCGAUACAGGGUGACAGCCCCGUACACAAAAAUGCACAUAUUGUGAGCUCGAUGAGUAGGGCGGGACACGUGGUAUCCUGUCUGAAUAUGGGGGGCCCAUCCUCCAAGGCUAAAUACUCCUGACUGACCGAUAGUGAACCAGUACCGUGAGGGAAAGGCGAAAAGAACCCCGGCGAGGGGAGUGAAAAAGAACCUGAAACCGUGUACGUACAAGCAGUGGGAGCACGCUUAGGCGUGUGACUGCGUACCUUUUGUAUAAUGGGUCAGCGACUUAUAUUCUGUAGCAAGGUUAACCGAAUAGGGGAGCCGAAGGGAAACCGAGUCUUAACUGGGCGUUAAGUUGCAGGGUAUAGACCCGAAACCCGGUGAUCUAGCCAUGGGCAGGUUGAAGGUUGGGUAACACUAACUGGAGGACCGAACCGACUAAUGUUGAAAAAUUAGCGGAUGACUUGUGGCUGGGGGUGAAAGGCCAAUCAAACCGGGAGAUAGCUGGUUCUCCCCGAAAGCUAUUUAGGUAGCGCCUCGUGAAUUCAUCUCCGGGGGUAGAGCACUGUUUCGGCAAGGGGGUCAUCCCGACUUACCAACCCGAUGCAAACUGCGAAUACCGGAGAAUGUUAUCACGGGAGACACACGGCGGGUGCUAACGUCCGUCGUGAAGAGGGAAACAACCCAGACCGCCAGCUAAGGUCCCAAAGUCAUGGUUAAGUGGGAAACGAUGUGGGAAGGCCCAGACAGCCAGGAUGUUGGCUUAGAAGCAGCCAUCAUUUAAAGAAAGCGUAAUAGCUCACUGGUCGAGUCGGCCUGCGCGGAAGAUGUAACGGGGCUAAACCAUGCACCGAAGCUGCGGCAGCGACGCUUAUGCGUUGUUGGGUAGGGGAGCGUUCUGUAAGCCUGCGAAGGUGUGCUGUGAGGCAUGCUGGAGGUAUCAGAAGUGCGAAUGCUGACAUAAGUAACGAUAAAGCGGGUGAAAAGCCCGCUCGCCGGAAGACCAAGGGUUCCUGUCCAACGUUAAUCGGGGCAGGGUGAGUCGACCCCUAAGGCGAGGCCGAAAGGCGUAGUCGAUGGGAAACAGGUUAAUAUUCCUGUACUUGGUGUUACUGCGAAGGGGGGGACGGAGAAGGCUAUGUUGGCCGGGCGACGGUUGUCCCGGUUUAAGCGUGUAGGCUGGUUUUCCAGGCAAAUCCGGAAAAUCAAGGCUGAGGCGUGAUGACGAGGCACUACGGUGCUGAAGCAACAAAUGCCCUGCUUCCAGGAAAAGCCUCUAAGCAUCAGGUAACAUCAAAUCGUACCCCAAACCGACACAGGUGGUCAGGUAGAGAAUACCAAGGCGCUUGAGAGAACUCGGGUGAAGGAACUAGGCAAAAUGGUGCCGUAACUUCGGGAGAAGGCACGCUGAUAUGUAGGUGAAGUCCCUUGCGGAUGGAGCUGAAAUCAGUCGAAGAUACCAGCUGGCUGCAACUGUUUAUUAAAAACACAGCACUGUGCAAACACGAAAGUGGACGUAUACGGUGUGACGCCUGCCCGGUGCCGGAAGGUUAAUUGAUGGGGUCAGCGCAAGCGAAGCUCUUGAUCGAAGCCCCGGUAAACGGCGGCCGUAACUAUAACGGUCCUAAGGUAGCGAAAUUCCUUGUCGGGUAAGUUCCGACCUGCACGAAUGGCGUAAUGAUGGCCGCUGUCUCCACCCGAGACUCAGUGAAAUUGAACUCGCUGUGAAGAUGCAGUGUACCCGCGGCAAGACGGAAAGACCCCGUGAACCUUUACUAUAGCUUGACACUGAACAUUGAGCCUUGAUGUGUAGGAUAGGUGGGAGGCUUUGAAGUGUGGACGCCAGUCUGCAUGGAGCCGGCCUUGAAAUACCACCCUUUAAUGUUUGAUGUUCUAACGUGGACCCGUGAUCCGGGUUGCGGACAGUGUCUGGUGGGUAGUUUGACUGGGGCGGUCUCCUCCUAAAGAGUAACGGAGGAGCACGAAGGUUGGCUAAUCCUGGUCGGACAUCAGGAGGUUAGUGCAAUGGCAUAAGCCAGCUUGACUGCGAGCGUGACGGCGCGAGCAGGUGCGAAAGCAGGUCAUAGUGAUCCGGUGGUUCUGAAUGGAAGGGCCAUCGCUCAACGGAUAAAAGGUACUCCGGGGAUAACAGGCUGAUACCGCCCAAGAGUUCAUAUCGACGGCGGUGUUUGGCACCUCGAUGUCGGCUCAUCACAUCCUGGGGCUGAAGUAGGUCCCAAGGGUAUGGCUGUUCGCCAUUUAAAGUGGUACGCGAGCUGGGUUUAGAACGUCGUGAGACAGUUCGGUCCCUAUCUGCCGUGGGCGCUGGAGAACUGAGGGGGGCUGCUCCUAGUACGAGAGGACCGGAGUGGACGCAUCACUGGUGUUCGGGUUGUCAUGCCAAUGGCACUGCCCGGUAGCUAAAUGCGGAAGAGAUAAGUGCUGAAAGCAUCUAAGCACGAAACUUGCCCCGAGAUGAGUUCUCCCUGACCCUUUAAGGGUCCUGAAGGAACGUUGAAGACGACGACGUUGAUAGGCCGGGUGUGUAAGCGCAGCGAUGCGUUGAGCUAACCGGUACUAAUGAACCGUGAGGCUUAACCUUACAACGCCGAAG